rnacentral:misc_RNA from 1 species
CGCACAUUGCGCCCUUUGGUAUUCCGAGGGGCAUGCCUGUUCGAGCGUCAUUAUCCAACCUCAAGCCUGGCUUGCAAUUGGGCACUAUCGGUAGCGAUUUGCUCCAAAGAUAAUGGCGAUGUCAUGGAUGACUCCAAUGCAGCGAGCUUUUAGCACAGCAUUGACAGCAUCGGUGGCAUCUGCAUCAACUUUUCUAAGGUUGACCUCGGAUCAGGUAGGAUUACCCGCUGAACUUAA